GUCUUGUUCCACGCUGUGGAAGGUUUGUUCUUCGCAAUAAAUUUUGCUGCUGCUCACUCUUUGGGUCUGCACUGCAUUUAUGAUGUGUAACACUCACUGUGAAGGUCUGCAGCUUCACUUCUGAGGCCAGCGAGACCAGAAACCCACUGGGAGGAAUGAGCAACUUUGGAUGGGAGGAACGAACAACUGCAGAUGUGCCGCCCUCAGAGCUGUAGCACAGUGAACGUCUGCGGCUUCGCUCCUGAAGCCAGCGAGAUCACGAACCCACCAGAAGACAAAAUCUCUGAACACGUCCGAACAUUAGAAGGAAUGGACUCCGGACACGCCUUUUUUUUUUUUUUUUGAGACAGUGUUUUUCUCUGUCGCCCAGGCUGGAGUGUAGUGCAAUCUCGACUCACUGCAAGCUCUGCCUCUCGGGUUCAUGCCAUUCUCCUGCCUCAGCCUCCAGAGCAGCUGGGACUACAGGCGCCCGCUGCCACGCCCGGCUGAAUUUUUUUGUAUUUUUAGUGGAGACGGGGUCUCACGGUGUUAGCCAGGAUGGUCUCGAUCUUCUCAUCUGCCCGCCUGGGCCUCCCAAAGUGCGGGGAUUACAGGCGUGAACCACCGUGCCCAGCCACUCUUUAAGAACUGUAGCAGUCACCGCGAGGGUCCGCGGCUUCAUUCUGGAAGCCAUUGAGACUGAGAACCCGCCAAUUCCGGACACAAUUUCAUAGUACAUCAGUAUGGUCCAAUACAGGUACCUCCUCAGGAAACUCUGAAAAAGAAGAAGUAGAAAUAGUAUGAGACAAGAAACAGUCAUAUUCCAAAGAAUGAAAUACUGUUACAAAUGAUGGAUCCAGAAAAUCUUAUCUGGCAACUUGCUGUUAUUUUCAGUAAGCCUGAUGAUGAAGAAGAAAGGAAAGAAGAAAAGGGCCAGUUCUGUGUUUAGCUCCAUGACAAGGGCACCAACUUCUUCCACAGGGCACCCAGAGUCCUCAAUGAACUAGACAUUUCAUGGUAUAAUGGCACUAACAUAAUGCACAAAUUCAAAACGAGUUGAAAAAAGAAUUGGGUGCAGGGAACACACAAUGUUAAUUGUAAAAAUUGUAAAAUAUGGUAAGAGUCUCAGUAAAACGAGGAAAACUUUCAUUUUCCAACUCAUUGUUAUAGCAUUAUGCGGAACAAACUUCAUUUCCCGUGUUGCAAGUAAGUUAAUUCUUUUCAUCAAUUAACCUUUGCUUGAGGGUACCCUGGUGAAGCAAAACUGCAAAUGACUUUUGUAGCAACCCACAUUCAAAUCCAAAAGCAUGAUAUGGUCAAAUUUUGUGUUAAAAAUACACACAAAAUUUACAACUAUGUUUAUAAAUUUUAUAUAGUUAUGUUUACAAAAUUAACCAGUGUUUUAUUGUAUAACAAGAACAAAAUCUAAAUAACAAUUACAAUUGCCUUCCAAAGCAC
rnacentral:lncRNA from 10 species